rnacentral:tRNA from 1 species
AGCUAUUUGGCUGAGAAUAAGCAAAUGUUUUGAAAACAUAUUACAGGAUUUCUAAAUCCUAAUGGCUU